rnacentral:rRNA from 1 species
UACGGAGGGUGCGAGCGUUAUUCGGAAUUACUGGGCGUAAAGCGUACGUAGGCGGCUUGUUAAGCAAGAUGUGAAAUCCCCGGGCUCAACCUGGGAAUGGCAUUUUGAACUGGCAAACUAGAGUCUUGUAGAGGGGGGUAGAAUUCCAGGUGUAGCGGUGAAAUGCGUAGAGAUCUGGAGGAAUACCAGUGGCGAAGGCGGCCCCCUGGCACAAUACUGACGCUCAGGUGCGAAAGCGUGGGGAGCAAACAGG